rnacentral:rRNA from 1 species
UACGUAGGGGGCAAGCGUUGUCCGGAAUCAUUGGGCGUAAAGAGCGUGUAGGCGGCCCGAUAAGUCCGCUGUGAAAGUCCAGGGCUCAACCCUGGGAUGCCGGUGGAUACUGGUCAGCUCGAGUCCGGAAGAGGAGUGUGGAAUUCCUGGUGUAGCGGUGAAAUGCGCAGAUAUCAGGAGGAACACCAAUGGCGAAGGCAGCACUCUGGGACGGUACUGACGCUGAGACGCGAAAGCGUGGGGAGCAAACAGG